rnacentral:rRNA from 1 species
UACGUAGGGGGCUAGCGUUGUCCGGAAUCAUUGGGCGUAAAGGGCGCGUAGGCGGCCUGUUAAGUCGAACGUGAAAUCCCCGGGCUCAACCCGGGAACUGCGUCCGAUACUGGCAGGCUUGAAUCCGGGAGAGGGAUGCGGAAUUCCAGGUGUAGCGGUGAAAUGCGUAGAUAUCUGGAGGAACACCGGUGGCGAAGGCGGCAUCCUGGACCGGCAUUGACGCUGAGGCGCGAAAGCCAGGGGAGCAAACGGG